UACUUGCGGGGAACUACCGGCUGGCCGC
rnacentral:piRNA from 1 species